rnacentral:rRNA from 1 species
UACGUAGGGCGCAAGCGUUAUCCGGAAUUAUUGGGCGUAAAGAGCUCGUAGGCGGUCUGUCGCGUCGGCUGUGAAAACUCGGGGCUCAACUCCGAGCUUGCAGUCGAUACGGGCAGGCUAGAGUUCGGCAGGGGAGACUGGAAUUCCUGGUGUAGCGGUGAAAUGCGCAGAUAUCAGGAGGAACACCGGUGGCGAAGGCGGUUCUCUGGGCCUUCCCUGACACUGAGGAGCGAAAGCGUGGGGAGCGAACAGG